AGCAGCCGCGGUAAUUCCAGCUCCAAUAGCGUAUAUUAAAGUUGUUGCAGUUAAAAAGCUCGUAGUUGAAUUUCGGGGUUAGUAGGUUGGUCAUGCCUCUGGUAUGUACUGGUCUCACUGAUUUCUCCUUCCUGAUGAGCCGUAAUGCCAUUAAUUUGGUGUUGCGGGGAAUUUGGACUGUUACUUUGAAAAAUUAGAGUGUUUAAAGCAAGCUAACGCUUGAAUACAUUGGCAUGGAAUAAUGAAAUAGGACGUUCGAUCCUAUUUUGUUGGUUUCUAGGAUUGACGUAAUGAUUAAUAGGGAUAGUUGGGGGCAUUAGUAUUCAAUUGUCAGAGGUGAAAUUCUUGGAUUUAUUGAAGACUAACUACUGCGAAAGCAUUUGCCAAGGAUGUUUUCAUUAAUCAAGAACGAAAGUUAGGGGAUCGAAGACGAUCAGAUACCGUCGUAGUCUUAACCAUAAACUAUGCCGACUAGGGAUCGGAUGAUGUUAAUUUUUUAAUGUACUCAUUCGGCGCCUUA
rnacentral:rRNA from 1 species